rnacentral:tRNA from 1 species
GGUGAGAUCACAUAGCCUGGUAGUGCGCCUGCUUUGAAAGGCAGGUGGCUUCACAGCCUCCGGGGUUCAAAUCCCCCAGUCUCACCG